rnacentral:rRNA from 1 species
UACGUAGGGGGCAAGCGUUGUCCGGAUUCAUUGGGCGUAAAGAGCGUGUAGGCGGCCAGGUAGGUCGGGUGUGAAAACUGGAGGCUCAACCUUCAGACGUCGACCGAAACCAUCUGGCUAGAGUCCGGGAGAGGAGAGUGGAAUUCCUGGUGUAGCGGUGAAAUGCGCAGAUAUCAGGAAGAACACCCGUGGCGAAAGCGGCUCUCUGGAACGGUACUGACGCUGAGACGCGAAAGCGUGGGGAGCGAACAGG